ACGUAGGUGGCGAGCGUUAUCCGGAAUCACUGGGCGUAAAGCGUUCGUAGGCGGCAAGGUUAGCCAGAUUUGAAAAACCGGGGCUCAACUCCGGGGCUGGAUUUGGAACUACCAUGCUUGAGCAGAGCAGAGGACAGUGGAAUUCCCGGUGUAGCGGUGGUAUGCGUAGAUAUCAGGAGGAACACCAGUGGCGAAGGCGACUGCCUGGAUUCUUGCUGACGCUGAGGAGCGAAAGCUAGGGGAGCGAACGG
rnacentral:rRNA from 1 species